rnacentral:rRNA from 1 species
AAAAGAACCUGAAACCGUGUACGUACAAGCAGUGGGAGCCCCACCACUAAGCCAGUGGUGAACUCACAUACGCAUCCUUUGCUGAAGGUGCGGUUAACGGAGCGCAAGCGACGUUCAACCUCAAAAGAAGCAGAGGGGGCUUAGUGGUGGGGUGACUGCGUACCUUUUGUAUAAUGGGUCAGCGACUUAUAUUCUGUAGCAAGGUUAACCGAAUAGGGGAGCCGGAGGGAAACCGAGUCUUAAUUGGGCGUUAAGUUGCAGGGUAUAGACCCGAAACCCGGUGAUCUAGCCAUGGGCAGGUUGAAGGUUGGGU